rnacentral:snRNA from 1 species
GUAUUUCUUUAUAUUUUAACUUUCCUCCUUUUGAGUAAUGGGUUGGUUGUGCUGAUCUGGCUAACUAGGUGGAUAUUCCCUUCCUUCACCACCAUUCCAAAUGUGUCCCUCCCAAAGGUGUGUACCCAAUCAAAGAAGACAUCCUUUCUUGACAGAGAAGAACUGUUCUUGGGUCAAAGGUAUUUGAGUAGCUGAGCUCCCUGCCAGACCGAUCAAACAAGUUCUCACAUGGUGGCAAUUUCAUGAGUAAGCUCAGUUUCGAUUUUCCAAUAAUUCCUUUUAUGAAUAA